rnacentral:rRNA from 1 species
CAGUCGCCGCGGGAAUACGAAGGGGGCUAGCGUUGCUCGGAAUUACUGGGCGUAAAGGGAGCGUAGGCGGACAUUUAAGUCAGGGGUGAAAUCCCAGAGCUCAACUCCGGAACUGCCUUUGAUACUGGGUGUCUUGAGUGUGAUAGAGGUAUGUGGAACUCCGAGUGUAGAGGUGAAAUUCGUAGAUAUUCGGAAGAACACCAGUGGCGAAGGCGACAUACUGGAUCAUUACUGACGCUGAGGCUUGAAAGCGUGGGGAGCAAACAGGAUUAGAUACCCCUGUAGUCCCUGUCUCUUAUAC